rnacentral:misc_RNA from 2 species
AACUUUUAGCAACGGAUCUCUUGGCUCUAGCAUCGAUGAAGAACGCAGCGAAAUGCGAUAAGUAAUGCGAAUUGCAGAAUUCCGCGAGUCAUCGAAUCUUUGAACGCACAUUGCGCCUGCCAGCACCCUGGCAGGCAUGCCUGUUCGAGCGUCAUCUCAACCCUCAGGCCCUAAUCGCCUGGUGUUGGGGCACUAUAGCGUCUAUAGGCCCCCAAAGACAGUGGCGGGCUCGCCGCGACCCCGAGCGCAGUAGUUUCUUCUCGCCCGGGCGCCGUGGUGGGCGCUUGCCGUUAAACCCCCAACUUACAAAAAUUUGACCUCGGAUCAGGUAGGAAUACCCGCUGAACUUAAGCAUAUCAAUAAGCGGAGGCU